rnacentral:rRNA from 1 species
AUUGAACGCUGGCGGCAGGCCUAACACAUGCAAGUCGAGCGAGAGGCGGACGGGUGAGCAAUGUAUGGGGACUUCCCGAUCGAGGGGGCUAAAUUCUGGAAAACGUGGCUAAUACCGCUUACUAUCUGACAACCCAUAUGGGAUUAGCUAGUAGGUGGGGUAAAGGCUCACCUAGGCGACGAUCUCCAGCUGGUAUGAGAGGUUGUUCAGCCAAACUGGUGCUGUGACACGGCCCAGACUCCUCCGGAGGCAGCAGUGGGGAAUCUUGCACACUGGUCGCAAGCCUGAUGCAGCCAUGCGGCGUGUAUGAAGAAGGCCUUGGGGUUGUAAAUUACUUUCAGCGGGGAGGCGUUACCCGCAGAAGAAGCACCGGCGAACUCCGUGCCAGCAGCCGCGGUAAUAC